rnacentral:rRNA from 1 species
AGUGAACGCUGGCGGUAGGCCUAACAUAUGCAAGUCGAACGGCAGCACAGUAAGAGCUUGCUCUUACGGGUGGCGAGUGGCGGACGGGUGAGGAAUACAUCGGAAUCUACUUUUUCGUGGGGGAUAACGUAGGGAAACUUACGCUAAUACCGCAUACGACCUACGGGUGAAAGCAGGGGAUCUUCGGACCUUGCGCGAUUGAAUGAGCCGAUGUCGGAUUAGCUAGUUGGCGGGGUAAAGGCCCACCAAGGCGACGAUCCGUAGCUGGUCUGAGAGGAUGAUCAGCCACACUGGAACUGAGACACGGUCCAGACUCCUACGGGAGGCAGCAGUGGGGAAUAUUGGACAAUGGGCGCAAGCCUGAUCCAGCCAUACCGCGUGGGUGAAGAAGGCCUUCGGGUUGUAAAGCCCUUUUGUUGGGAAAGAAAAGCAGCAGGUUAAUACCCCGCUGUUCUGACGGUACCCAAAGAAUAAGCACCGACUAACUUCGUG